GCGCCCGGGGGUGCCCUCUCUUCUCUCAGCCUUCCUCCCCCGCCCCCUCCUUUCCGCCGACUUCUCCGCAGGCGGGCACGCGCAAAGAAGCGCGCCGGCCGGGGUGUGGCGGGGCGGAGGCGAGGCCUGGCGCGGGCCGCCGCAGUGCGCCUGCGCACAACCUACCCCGCGAGGAGAGAGUAAUGCGCAUGCGGGCGUGUCUCCCGGGACUCUAGAGCGGGCGAGCCCCCGGCACUUUCGGAUUUAUGCAGUGGAACUUUUCCCAAGUGGAUUCCAAGUAAUACCACAUAGACUGGAGACAUCUCAGAAAUGCCUGAUGGAGAUGCAGUGGAAGAUGGUUAGAAACAGCAUUUCACAGGAAUAGCCAAUGUCCAUUUUACCCAAGGGUUUUCACAUGCAAAGCUCCUAUUAUUGAACUAGUAGAUUAGUAAACCAUAUUGGUUGAGAGAAGCCCGGCACUUAAUUAUUCAACACAGUUAUUUUUAGUUCUGUUCUUUCACUAUCUCUGUCCCCUUCAAAAAAUGGCAUGUUCCCAACUAACACCUGUCAGUUUUGAGGCACCCUUAAACCUACACCUUAUGCAACAAAUAAAAGAUCUUGUGCAAGAAAAAUCUUAAACCAAACAACAGCUCAUAGACUUCUACCUACUUAGCGAUUUGUAGACUUUCUGUUUCAGGACGUCAUCUGACGUCUUCCACAUCAGAAGAGGUUCUGGGUUCCCCACAAGCACUUGCCACCAGGAACACUGCACUUCUGGAACAAAGGCCCCGUACCUGGCUGUUGCAACUUUGGAGCUGAACCUCAUUAAUCCUUGCUAGGUUCAGUGGUAAUUAUUGGAGAAUUGGAUGCUCCUCGGCCAGGGCCAGGAUCCUACAACAGUAUCUCUAGGCAACAUCUCCAACCUGAGAGAACUUAUUUCUGGACUCAUUCCUGUCCUGUAAACAGGGCUGGCAUGAGCCUUCCAAAGAUGUUGGACCAAGACCAUGCUGGAACGUAGGGUACCACAAGCAAUGGUGGCCCAGACAGGGUUUGGACACAGCUACUGGAAGCAGGUAAUCAAGAGUGUGAAUUCAAAUUGUUACAAGUAGCUAUAAGGAAAAGGACCUAAUGUUUUACUUUAGCUCUUGUGCUGAGUACUAGUCAGGUCGAUCUACAGUACUACUGGGGCCCAUUGCCCAUUUGCGAGGCUUCCCGGAAAAUAUUCAAUGAAAUGAUAAUAGACCCUAAGACAGCUCAGAUUUGGGGAAGUAAAAUUUCUGCCCUAACACUCAUCCACAGCAAACCAUCUAUACAUGGCUGCUCAGAGUUGCUAAACCUGAGGCCAGACCAUGAUCUAGAGUAUCCCCAGACGGGAGAGUUCUCAUAAAACAGUAUCCCUUACGUGCCCACCCACCAAAUCGGUUUUAUUGCCGACACAAAUUUUAACCCUGAACUGCACCUUCCCACCCAGGCUUCUUGAGCUAAUCCUGUAGUCUCAAGAAUCUACCCAACAUCGUGCCCCAGGCUCUUGUCCUUGGCUUUUCUUAUACACCUCUGUCUAUUCUCUACCAGUUUGCUCUCCUCUGCUACACUGGUGCUUUGUUUGCUGGUUCAGGAUCACACCUCUCCCCCUUCUGGUCAAGAUUUUCCAUUACAACUCUUAAUUUUUAGACCCCUCUUCCAGCUCUUCACUUCAGCUCUAAAGUCUUGAGUGGGGAAAGUGGCCCCAGGUUGCUUUCCUAUCCUCAAGAAGCAGGGUGGGACAACAUGGAGGUAUGUGUUCUUAUUUUUGUGUUAUCUAAGAGACAUACAGGGACGAAGAGAAAGCUCCCUCCCACCCUUAGCCACCGGUGGUUCUGCUCCCCAGAGCCAACCAGUGUUAACAGGUUUCUUAAAGAGGAAAUUUGGUUACCUCUGGUGCUCAGGAGUCACGAAAGCUUUUCAGAAAUAGAAGAUCCAAAUCCCAUCCUCUCUGGGUAAGCUCCAUGGAAACAUAGAAGCCUGGCUCUCUGUAGGACAUCAGGAGGAGAGCUGGCCAUCUGCAGACCUUGACUGUAAUUCUCGAGCUCAACACAGUCAUUUAAUGAACCUCUUUGGCUUUCAGGCUGAUCUCCGUCCCCAUCCGCAUUCUGGUUCAAAAUCCACAUGGAAUGUUACAUUCCACAACUAGAAGUCCACGAGAAUAGACGCCUUCCAGGGCAGAUCAUCCCAUCAGUGAUUUCAUCUAAUUCUUCCUCUGCCCCUCACACCACACUAUUUUACUUCCACCUGUCCCACUGGUAAUGAAAAAAAAAAAAAAAAACAGAAAGAAUUAAAUAUUCACCAAUCUUUGAUUUUA